AAAGGAGACACCAGCGGAUUGUGGAAGCAGACGAUGAGGACACAAAAAUUAAGGGAGAGAUGACAUUUACACAUUUUGCCAUUGUUCGGCCCGACACAAAGAAACACAAGCAAUGUCACCAGCUCAGGUGACCUCGCGACUGUGUGCUCCCUCCCUGCUUGUCUGUCUGGCAUCUGGGACUUUCCUAAAGAGGCCCAGUAGAGGUUCCGCUGUGUGUGAGUGGAAGGGAAGGAAGACUGUGCAUUGGGAAGAAUCAGCAUUUAAUCUGCAUUCAAACGGUGAAAGAAAUGUAAAAAUACUCUUAACCGGAUUUCCUCCCACAUAAACCAUUAAAAGUAAUUUGGAAAAUCUCCGUAAACCCACCAUUGUUAAGUGCCAAACAGACCUACAAUUCAUAUGUAGAAAUGCCUUGUACCGACACAAGACAUUGCUGUAGCAGUACUUUGAGUCGGGGGGACACAUGCUGCUGUUCAUGUGAUGGGACGUGACACUAGGUGUGGUGUUCUCCCGUCUUAGGGUGUAUUGUUACUUUCACUUCCGAGAGCAGGAGGUGAUUAAUUGAAGAGUUAGUGACUAAUUUAGGAAAACAUUUAGUGGUUUGGUUCCGGACUACUGCCUUGUGACUGCAGCCACGGAUGGUACUCAUUUUCUUCCUCGGAGAGACCGCGUGGUCACAGUCAUGAGAUAAUCCAACAUGGCUGCCCCUGUUUUUUUUUUCCAGACAUUCGAUGUUCUACUUAUAAUAUGAUGAUAUGAUGGGACCAUCAUGUGAGCAACAAGAUUUUUUAAUGCAUUUAAGUGCCUCUUCCACAAGUGCAACUGCACUACAGAAUCUGUGACAAAAAAAAAAAAAAAAAAAA